UACAGGGGGGGCAAGCGUUGUUCGGAAUUACUGGGCGUAAAGGGUUUGUAGGUGGCUUGCUCAGUCAGACGUGAAAUCCCUCAGCUUAACUGGGGAACUGCGUCUGAUACUAGCGAGCUUGAGUGCAGGAGAGGAACGCGGAAUUCCAGGUGUAGCGGUGAAAUGCGCAGAUAUCGGGAGGAACACCGGUGGCGAAGGCGGUUCUCUGGGCCUGACCUGACGCUGAGGAGCGAAAGCGUGGGGAGCGAACAGG
rnacentral:rRNA from 1 species